rnacentral:rRNA from 1 species
UUUCUUCUCUUGUCAGACGAACGCUGGCGGCGUGCCUAAUACAUGCAAGUCGAGCGGACAGAAGGGAGCUUGCUCCCGGAUGUUAGCGGCGGACGGGUGAGUAACACGUGGGUAACCUGCCUGUAAGACUGGGAUAACUCCGGGAAACCGGAGCUAAUACCGGAUAGUUCCUUGAACCGCAUGGUUCAAGGAUGAAAGACGGUUUCGGCUGUCACUUACAGAUGGACCCGCGGCGCAUUAGCUAGUUGGUGGGGUAAUGGCUCACCAAGGCGACGAUGCGUAGCCGACCUGAGAGGGUGAUCGGCCACACUGGGACUGAGACACGGCCCAGACUCCUACGGGAGGCAGCAGUAGGGAAUCUUCCGCAAUGGACGAAAGUCUGACGGAGCAACGCCGCGUGAGUGAUGAAGGUUUUCGGAUCGUAAAGCUCUGUUGUUAGGGAAGAACAAGUGCGAGAGUAACUGCUCGCACCUUGACGGUACCUAACCAGAAAGCCACGGCUAACUACGUGCCAGCAGCCGCGGUAAUACGUAGGUGGCAAGCGUUGUCCGGAAUUAUUGGGCGUAAAGGGCUCGCAGGCGGUUUCUUAAGUCUGAUGUGAAAGCCCCCGGCUCAACCGGGGAGGGUCAUUGGAAACUGGGAAACUUGAGUGCAGAAGAGGAGAGUGGAAUUCCACGUGUAGCGGUGAAAUGCGUAGAGAUGUGGAGGAACACCAGUGGCGAAGGCGACUCUCUGGUCUGUAACUGACGCUGAGGAGCGAAAGCGUGGGGAGCGAACAGGAUUAGAUACCCUGGUAGUCCACGCCGUAAACGAUGAGUGCUAAGUGUUAGGGGGUUUCCGCCCCUUAGUGCUGCAGCUAACGCAUUAAGCACUCCGCCUGGGGAGUACGGUCGCAAGACUGAAACUCAAAGGAAUUGACGGGGGCCCGCACAAGCGGUGGAGCAUGUGGUUUAAUUCGAAGCAACGCGAAGAACCUUACCAGGUCUUGACAUCCUCUGACAACCCUAGAGAUAGGGCUUUCCCUUCGGGGACAGAGUGACAGGUGGUGCAUGGUUGUCGUCAGCUCGUGUCGUGAGAUGUUGGGUUAAGUCCCGCAACGAGCGCAACCCUUGAUCUUAGUUGCCAGCAUUCAGUUGGGCACUCUAAGGUGACUGCCGGUGACAAACCGGAGGAAGGUGGGGAUGACGUCAAAUCAUCAUGCCCCUUAUGACCUGGGCUACACACGUGCUACAAUGGACAGAACAAAGGGCUGCAAGACCGCAAGGUUUAGCCAAUCCCAUAAAUCUGUUCUCAGUUCGGAUCGCAGUCUGCAACUCGACUGCGUGAAGCUGGAAUCGCUAGUAAUCGCGGAUCAGCAUGCCGCGGUGAAUACGUUCCCGGGCCUUGUACACACCGCCCGUCACACCACGAGAGUUUGCAACACCCGAAGUCGGUGAGGUAACCUUUAUGGAGCCAGCCGCCGAAGGUGGGGCAGAUGAUUGGGGUGAAGUC